rnacentral:rRNA from 1 species
ACUCCUACGGGAGGCAGCAGUGGGGAAUAUUGCACAAUGGGCGCAAGCCUGAUGCAGCCAUGCCGCGUGUGUGCAAGAAGGGCCUUCGGGUUGAUAAAGCAACUUUUCAGUCGUGAGGAAGGUAGUGUAGUUAAUAGCUGCAUUAUUUGACGUUAGCGACAGAAGAAGCACCGGCUAACUCCGUGCCAGCAGCCGCGGUAAUACGGAGGGUGCGAGCGUUAAUCGGAAUUUACUGGGCGUAAAGCGCAUGCAGGUGGUUUGUUAAGUCAGAUGUGAAAGCCCGGGGCUCAACCUCGGAAUUGCAUUUGAAACUGGCAGACUAGAGUACUGUAGA